rnacentral:lncRNA from 1 species
UGGGUUGGAACCCUGAGUCAAAGAAUAAUCUACAUGGAUAAUCAUCACAAUGUUAUUUUUUAAAUGAAGUGAAAUAUUGGGAAAAAUAGGGUAGUUGUUAAAUAAAUCAUGGCACAAUAUAAAGUGAUAAAAUGUCAACAGCCAUCUUUUGUUUAGUUUAAGAAAAAAUAUUGACAGGAAGAAAAGCAAUAGGUAAAAUGAUAAAUGUCUUUUUAAAAUACAAACUAUAAAGAAAGCUCCCCUGGCUUCUGAUUUGUCCCUACACAAAACACUAGAACAUAAAGAAACUGAUAAAUACAUGGAGACAAGGUGAUAUUGUUCCAAGGAAUUCUAAGGGGGAAAAAAAAAUCUUUGCUUUAGGAUAGUUUCCAUGCUAAAAUAGACUUUCUUAAUAUAAUUCAUACUUUCAUUGGUUAAUACCAAAUGGUUACAAAAUUAGAUUCCCUUUUAUAAAUGAUUUAUGUUCUGUUUAAUUUCCCUAGAAGCUAUUAGCAGGGUUCUGCCUGGUAGCAAUUAGUUUACAAAAUAAUAAUAAUAUCCCAUUGUAGCAGCUUAUGCCUAUAAUCCCAGCAGCUCAGGAGGCUGAGACAGGAGCAUCACAAGUUCAAGGCCAGCCUCAGCAAGUUAGUGAGGCCCGAUGCAACUUAGUGAGACCAUCUCAAAAUUAAAAAUAAAAAGGGCUGGGGAUGUGGCUUAAAGGUUAAGCAUCCCUGGGUUAAAUUCCUGAUACCAAAAAAUAAUAAAUAAUUUUUCUAGGAAAAAGUAUAGUCUCCAUGUUUUUCAACUCUGCAAUCUUUAAUCCUUCUGCACAUGUCAAAAUGAUCACCAUAAUCAUUAGUGGCUUUUCAAUUAUCUAAAUAGCUAUUUUAUAAGACAGAAAUUGAGUAAGAAAAGUAAUGUUUUUUUGUUUUAUAUUUUUUUAGUUGCAGAUGAACAGCAUGCAUGAGGCACUGGGUUCAAUUCUCAAUACCACAUAUAAAU